rnacentral:rRNA from 1 species
CAGCAGCCGCGGUAAUACGAAGGGUGCGAGCGUUACUCGGAAUUACUGGGCGUAAAGCGUGUGUAGGUGGUUGUUUAAGUCUGUCGUGAAAGCCCUGGGCUCAACCUGGGAAUUGCGAUGGAUACUGGGCGACUAGAGUGCGGUAGAGGAUAGUGGAAUUUCCGGUGUAGCAGUGAAAUGCGUAGAGAUCGGAAGGAACAUCUGUGGCGAAGGCGACUAUCUGGGCCAACACUGACACUGAGACACGAAAGCGUGGGGAGCAAACAGGAUUAGAUACCCCCGUAGUCCCUGUCUCUUAUAC